UCAUAGUGUCUCUCAUCACCACAGCCAUUGAAGACCCUUCGAACCCUUCGAUACCCACCCUCCCUCUUCGAUACCCACCCUCCCUCUUCGCUACGCUACUCCUCCUUCCCUUACAACCCUUCUCUUCUACCUGACCGAGGCUGUCACCGACCGAGCCUCCCUCCAUCCGACGAUCGAGUCGAGUCUCGCCUGACUCGCUUCUCGCCUCUCAGUCCCGCCGGACUCUCUUCUGUCGACGGAUCUGUCUUCUCUCGGCUCUCUCUCUCCGACCAGCCCGAUUCUGUCCACCGACUCCAACCUACAGGUGACGUGGCUCUAUCUGAGCCGUUGCCCGGAGGAAGAGGCUAGAGAGGAUCCGGACUCUUCUUAUGGAUGGGUAGCACUACACCAUUUUUUAGAAAUAUAUAUAACAAAGUAGUUGACUCAUAUCAAUAGUAGUAUCAACUCCUCUUAUAUACUAAUGAAUUGAAAUUCAUUCUGUUCUCAUCUGCAAAUCCCAAUUCCUCAAAUCUAAGCAUAGUUCAAUUCCAAGUCUGGUGACUCUUCUCUGCAUAACAAAACCAUGCAACUCAAAGAUGGGCAUAUCCUUGCACACAUCCUGGCUGCAACCUCCAUUGGAGUCAUCUCUGCCACUGCGUUUCACUACUACCAUCGACAAAAGCCCCAAAAACAGUUGGAAGAUCAAACCAUAGUUCCAUUGUUAGACAGGAAUGAGUCUGGCCGUGUUGCCAAACUUGAAAGAUUCUCCAAUCAUGUUGGAUUUGAAGAUGGAAGUGAAUGUCCCCAACUUUGCAAAUUAGCAUAUAAGUACCUCAAAAAAUCCAAA